GUUAUUUUAUUAUAAAGAGUAAGCUCUACUGUUAAUAGGGAAGUAAAAAUAACU
rnacentral:tRNA from 1 species